CCUCCUAGGUGCGCGGGGGCGCUGUGAGUCACUGCGGGUCAUGGAGGCGCUCUGUCUCAGCCUCGUUGGUUCGGACCGAGGCUUUCGGGACGGCGGCGGGAAGAUGGCGGCCUCCAGGGACCAGCUUGGAGCCGUGGAGGAAAAGGGAGGCUCGGGUCGCCAGGGGAGCUCAGGAGUCGAGGUGGUUUUUCCCUCCGAUCCCGCCACCUCCGCCCCGCUGUGCCCUCACGGACCCACUCUUCUGUUUGUAAAGGUGAACCAAGGGAAAGAAGAAACACGGAGGUUUUAUGCCUGCUCAGCGUGUAGAGAUAGAAAAGAUUGUAAUUUUUUUCAGUGGGAAGAUGAAAAGUUGUCAGGAGCUAGACUUGCUGCCCGAGAAGCUCAUAAUCAAAGAUGUCAGCCUCCUUUAUCCCGAUCGCAAUGUGUGGAAAGGUACUUGAAGUUUAUUGAGUUGCCCUUGUCUCAGAGGAAGUUUUGUCAAAGAUGUCAGCAGUUGGUACUGCCAGACGACGGGGAGAAGCACCGUGAGCAUCAGAUAGUGGGUGACGUCUCCAUCACCCAGUUAAAAAGGCCCAGUCAGCUCCUCUGUCCCUUGGAAAACAAGAAGACAAAUGCCCAGUAUUUGUUUGCUGAUAGGAGCUGUCUGUUCUUAGUGGACCUGCUCUCUACCCUUGGGUUCAGAAGAGUACUGUGUGUUGGAACACCAAGGUUGCAUGAGCUGAUCAGGUUGAAAGCAUCAGGUGACGAGAAGUCUAACAUUAAAAGCCUUUUAUUGGAUAUUGAUUUUCGGUAUUCACAGUUUUAUAUGGAAGAUAGUUUUUGCCAUUAUAACAUGUUUAACCAUCACUUCUUUGAUGGAAAGGCUGCCCUUGAAGUAUGCAGAACAUUUUUACAGGAAGAUAAAGGUGAAGGAGUCAUUAUGGUGACAGAUCCUCCUUUUGGUGGCUUGGUUGAACCUCUGGCUGUUACAUUCAAGAAGUUAAUUGCUAUGUGGAAAGAAGGUCAAAGCCAAGAAAACAAUCGCAAAGAACUACCUAUAUUCUGGAUUUUCCCCUAUUUUUUUGAAUCCCGAAUUUGUCAGUUUUUCCCAAGCUUCUGCAUGCUGGAUUACCAGCACUUCCAUAGGAGGUUUAUUUGUGUGGAUGAAGCUAUGAAAUAUGGAUGCAUGUUAGAGGUACAUUAAUUUACCCUAGCAGCAUGCAUUUUACAUACCAUAUGUUUAUAGUUAAUUAGCACAACAAACCCACAUUUAAAAAUAAUAAUAAUCUCAAUUAGGUUAUGCAAAAUCAAGUAAUCAACCACCUUCCUGACACAUGCAUUCUCUGACUCCUUGGGUAACCAUAAAGAAACUGUUCUUUUUUUUCCCCCUCUCUUCCAUCUGCUAUCUAUUAUAUUGCAUGGAAUAUUCCAUUUACUAAAAAUCUUUCUAAGAUACUCUUUUCCAGCAUUUGAAAAUCUUUAUAAGAUUCUCUCGGGAAGAAUUUUUUUCUUAUGACACUCAUAAAUGUUCAAAAUAUCUUUGUUAAAUUUAAUAAGGUGCUAUAUAUUUACUGAGUACAUAGAGGGGGUGCAUUAGGGAAAAUUAUGAAUUUGUCAUUUUAAAAGAAAACUACUUAAGGCACUAUUUUAAAGGUGAUUUUGUAGUAAAAUCUACUUUUGUAUCUUAGCCUGUAAUAGGUAACAUAUAUUCAUAGAAUUUUAAAUUUGGAAAGAAGCAUAGAGGUAACGUAGGCUAACUUCCCAGUGUAAUAAUCCUCUCCACUAAAUUCAUGACAAGCAGUCACCCAGCCUCACUUGAAUGCUUUCAGUGAGCAAAGUCCUACAGCCUUACAAGGCAACUCAAUUUAUUUAAUAGCUCUAAUCGUUAGAAAAUUUUCUCAUAUGGAGAUAAAAUAUGCUCCCUAUUAACUUCUAACCAUUGGACCUACUUCUAUUUUCCGAAGCAAUAAAAGAGUAAGUCUAAUUUCUAUUCCACGUGACACGCUUUCUGUUAUCAAAUAGCCAUCAGAUCCUCCCUGUCUUCUCUUUUCUGAAUAAACACUCCCAAUCUGUUAAACUAUCAAUCCUUUUUAUUCCCAUUACUUUCAAUAGAAAUGAACUGGUUUUAUUAAUGAUUCUCUUAAAAUGUAGCAACUGAAUGCAAGGCUUCGGAUGUGCUCUAACCUCCUCUCCUCUCCGCGUUCUGAUGCUACACUUCUGUGUAAGCACUGAGCUGUUACAUCGCUAUGCUAGACUGCGGACUCACCAUGCCGACCUGUGCGUGUUCAUUGUGCAGAACAUCCUCGGAGUUUUUUCCCCACUGCUGAAGCUUAUUAAUGAGUCUUCCUAAAUUUGUUCACCUGUAAAUCUAGCAGGCAUUGGCAUGGCCAUUGGGAGAGCUUCGGAAUCUCCCAUUCAAGUCCUCUCUUUCCAUUGCCACCAAAUCCUUACAUUUUUGUAGUUCUCUCAUGAAAUAGCUAGCUUGCAAGCCAGUUCUGUUGUAAAUUCUUAAGAGUAAUCUGAUUUAGAAUCCAAACAAUUCAUAACAACUUACUGGAAAGUUGGGAUCUAUCUGUAUUAACCUUAUAAAAAUCUCAUGAUAGUCCUGUGUGUAAUUAAAUCAGUGGUGCUCAAACUUUAGUGUGCCAGGAGGGCUUGUUAAAAAUACAGGUUGCUGGGCCCCGCCCCCAGAGUUUCUGUGUUCUUAGGCCCUAGGUGGGGCAAGAAUUUGCAUUUCCAACAAGAUCCCAGGUAAUGCUGGUGUUGCUGAUUCAGGCACCACACUGUGAGAAUUAGUGAUCUGAAGGAAGACGGACUUAGUGGCCAGAUGGGUUCAUAGCAGGUUGAAAACCAGAUUGAGACUGUGUGUAGAUGAUAGGGUGGGAAAGGAGACGGGAGCAAGAAGCUAGUAGAAAUCAUGCUUGUUGGCUUCAUUUUACUUUCCAGAUAAUCUGCUGAAAUGGAAAGUUGAGUUAGGGGUCUUGAGGAGAGAGGUAAACAUUUGAAAUAGUCAUGGUGGGGAGAACAGCUAUAGGUUACGAGUCUCCCUCUGCAUCUCCAUCCUUCCAUCUCUACGAUGUGCUGGGCCCUGAACUCUGGGCUUUACAUACGUUGUCUCAUGUAACUUUCACAGCAGCUCUAAGGUAAGUAUCAGUAACCUCUUUUUUCCAGGUGAAAAUGAUGCAAACUUGCCUGAGGUCACAUAACAAGUGAGUGACAGAGAGCCCCUGCCUGGCCCCCAAAUCUGGCUCUGUUGGAGAGUAAUGUUGGAGGGCCAAACUGAGGCUGCACUGAGCCUUGGGGAGCAGAAAACUGACAUGCAGUGAAUUUCACACACACAAAAAUGAGAAGCCCUAACCAAGUUGUCACAGAUCUUCAAAGGUGGAGUUUUUUUAAACACCGAUAGCUAAAAUCUUAAUUACAUAAUAGCCUUUAUUGCAGAGUCUAUUGCGUUGGAUAAAAGAUUAGAGUUGUUCUCUUACCUAGGGGUAGCAUGAAUUUGUCAUAACAAAUUUUACCUUUUUUAUAAUGAAAUUUGGCUGCCCACAGAGGCCUCUCCAAGGCUGACUAUAAACUCUUGCUUUUAAGAAUUUCUUAUUCAAUACUUUGAUUUGAUUUGUUUCUUGGCAUCACUUUGUUCAUUUAUUGGCUAAAGAGUCUGAACAAAUGUUGACUCUUUUGAGAAAUGUUUCUUUUUAAAUUUUUUUUAACUUUCUAGGUAGAUUAUGAUAAUCAUGCACUUUAUAAACAUGGAAAGACAGGACGGAAACAGUCUCCUGUGCGUAUUUUCACCAAUAUUCCACCCAACAAAAUAAUCCUUCCUAUUGAGGAAGGGUACAGAUUUUGCUCUCUCUGUCAGCGAUACGUU